rfam:Heligmosomoides polygyrus genome assembly, scaffold: HPBE_scaffold0008676
GCGCCGGUAGUGUAAGGCGUAACAUGGCUGCCCGGAAAACAGAAGAUGCGGGUUAGAGUUCCGCCUGGCGCA